rnacentral:tRNA from 1 species
GCGAGAGUGGCGGAAUUGGCAGACGCGCGAGAUUUAGGUUCUCGUUCCGAAAGGAGUGCGGGUUCGAUUCCCGCCUCUCGCACCA